AAAGGGAUUGAGCAUGCUCAGUCUGUUCUACCAGCUGCAAUAGGUUCCUUUAAAAAACACACUGGAAGUACAUCUGUGUUUUUCCUGUGAAAGGAGUCUUGGGCAGGGUUUGACCUGCAGAGCAUGGACAGAAUGUGGGGCUCCUAUUUGGACAUACUCUAAAGUAUGGAGGUUCCAGCAUGUGAAGGGCCACAACCAGGAAAUGAUCGAGCUUCAGGGCAUGGCCACCUGCUUCUUCCCCAUCUGUCACAGAACCAGCUACAUCCUGCCAACACUUGGCCUCAUCCAGUUAUCAUGUGGAGCUGAUGGAAAUGGACUAAUUAAAGGACAACAUUUAAAACUUGCCAUAAAGGCUUCAGCAUUUGGAUGUUUCUAGGGAAGCAGAACAUCAUACAUUGUAAUAAAAGACAGAGGCCACAACUCAACAUAGAUGUAGCUGUACACAAACCUAUUGGCAUCAGUGGACUUCAACAAAGUUAAAGGUGUUUAGCAGUACGGUAAUUGCUGCUGUGCUUUAAGCUGGAAGUGGAAUAGCAACUCUGCCUCCAGAUUCUAUAGCCAAUCAGGCAGGCCUCCGUCCCCAACCCCAAAUGGAGAAGGGAUGGCAACACUUAUUUUUUUGCACAGGAUUUCCCUGCCCCAUAAGAACAGACUCUGUUUUAUGUAUUUAUUUGCUUUUUUAUAUGCGCUCAUAUUAUUAUUUGAUUGGUUUUAUGUUGUUAUUUUUGUUUUAAUGAUAUUGUUUUAUAUUGUACACUGCUUAGAAAAGUUAAAAACAUUAAGCAGCUUACAUAUGCUUUUCAUUAACUAAACAAACAAAUAAAUUUUCAUUCGGAGGGUUAAAUACUCCCUCCCCCCAGC